UUUUUCAUAUAAGACUUAAUAGCUCAUGAAAGGUCAUUUACCAAAAUUUUAGAAGAUUCUUGAUUUUCUUGAUUUUGUUUUGAGACCCAAAUACCAAUGCAAAUAUAAGGUAAAAGUCAGAGUCAGCCUUUUCCCGCCAUAUUUUAAAUCACAAAUAUGUCGAAAAGGAGGUCCAUGACCUAUCAAUAAUUUUAGCUUAUUUUUAUCCUUAACGAAUGCUCUACCA
rnacentral:lncRNA from 1 species